rnacentral:rRNA from 1 species
GUCAAGUUUUCAAGGGCGCAUGGUGGAUGCCUUGGCAUCAGGAGCCGAAGAAGGACGUGGGAAUCUGCGAUAAGCCUGGAGGAGUCGAUAACCGGACGUUGAUUCCAGGAUUUCCGAAUGGGGAAACCCGG